rnacentral:rRNA from 1 species
UACGCAGGGGGCAAGCGUUGUCCGGAAUCAUUGGGCGUAAAGAGCGUGUAGGCGGCCCGGUAAGUCCGCUGUAAAAGUCAAAGGCUCAACCUUUGAAUGUCAGUGGAUACUGCCGGGCUAGAGUCCGGAAGAGGCGAGUGGAACUCCUGGUGUAGCGGUGGAAUGCGCAGAUAUCAGGAAGAACACCAACGGCGAAGGCAGCUCACUGGGACGUUACUGACGCUGAGACGCGAAAGCGUGGGGAGCAAACAGG